UUUCCGUAGGUGAACCUGCGGAAGGAUCAUUAUUGAAAAAGACAAGACGCCCCGUUUUUUCGUAAAAUGGGUUCAAUACCCACAACCGUGAAUACCUUACCUUUUGUUGCUUUGGCAGGCCGCCUCCGGGCGUUGGCUUCGGCUGACAGCGCCUGCCAGAGGACCCAAACUCUGUGUUUAGUGAUGUCUGAGUAAUAUAUAAUAUUUUAAAACUUUCAACAACGGAUCUCUUGGUUCUG
rnacentral:misc_RNA from 1 species